rnacentral:lncRNA from 1 species
CAAAAGGUCAUUGUGAUGCCUGCUUCCCCUUUCUAGGUUGUGUCUCACCUCAUCUCCACGACCAUCCCAGAAGAUCUGUAAGAUUCCAUCUGGGAAAACACUAGGAGUUCUUGGCAGGGAAAGAAGAGGAUUGCUGGUUGGAAUAAAAACA